rnacentral:rRNA from 1 species
CGUGGGUAACCUGCCCAAGAGACUGGGAUAACACCUGGAAACGGAUGCUAAUACCGGAUAACAACACUAGACGCAUGUCUAGAGUUUAAAAGAUGGUUCUGCUAUCACUCUUGGAUGGACCUGCGGUGCAUUAGCUAGUUGGUAAGGUAACGGCUUACCAAGGCAAUGAUGCAUAGCCGAGUUGAGAGACUGAUCGGCCACAUUGGGACUGAGACACGGCCCAAACUCCUACGGAAGGCAGCAG